rnacentral:rRNA from 1 species
AAUAAACGCUGGCGGCGUGCCUAACACAUGCAAGUCGAGCGAGAAAGCUCCUUCGGGAGUUAGUAAAGCGGCGAACGGGUGAGCAACACGUGAGAAUCUACCCUUUAGUGAAGAAUACCCUCGAGAAAUCGAGGCUAAUACUGCAUACGUCCCUUCGGGGAGAAAGAUGGCCUCUUUGCUAUCGCUAAAGGAUGAGCUUGCGUACUAUUAGCUAGUUGGCGGGGUAAAGGCCCACCAAGGCAAUGAUGGUUAACCGGCCUGAGAGGGUGUACGGUCACACUGGAACUUAGACACGGUCCAGACUCCUACGGGAGGCAGCAGUGAGGAAUCUUGCGCAAUGGGCGAAAGCCUGACGCAGCGACGCCGCGUGGAGGAUGACGGUUUUCGGAUUGUAAACUCCUGUUAAGCGGGAAGAAAGCCUUGUUUCUAAUACAAGCAAGGUAUGACGGUACCGCUAGAGAAGCACCGGCUAACUUCGUGCCAGCAGCCG